GGGAGAGUAAAGAAAGAAAGAAGAAAGGAAAAGGAGGAAGAAGAAGAAAGAAGAAAAAAAAUCGACCGUAGAGCUUCACCGGAGCUGGGUCUUGGUAUUUUGAGUUCGGAUUAAUGAUCAGUUUGCCGAGAUCUUCAAUUUGAGGAUUUGGAAGAAGUGUUGAUGAAAAUUUAGAAUAAUUGGAAGUUCUUGAGCAAAAGAAGUAAAAUUUGGGGUUUCAUUCGUGUUCUUAAGAAAGAAGUAAGAAUCUCCUUCUUUCUCUUGAUUUGAUCUUAGAUCUAGGUUGAAGAUAUAUGAUUGGACCUUAGAUGAGUGAUUUGAGUCACCGGAUCGACCCCAAACAAGUUCCCCUAGCUGAAGAGAAGAUGGAGAAGAAAAUUAGAGAAUUUCUUUUCAAGAUUGGGGGGUGUUCCAGGCCCACAUGUCUUUGAGUUUCUAGCCAACCUGAGUUCCUAGAACUCAAUUUCUGGGUUCUGGUGUAACCGACGGACAUGUGUGUUAUGAUUGAAUAUUCAUUAUGUCUUGAUGUAUGUGAUGGAGGAAUCUCAUUUGGACAUGAAAUGCAUGCUAGAUUUUAAAUGUCGUAGUCGGCUUGGAAAUGAGUGCAUGGUGGCUUGUGGAAUGGUUCGCAACUCUUAUUUGAGGCAUAUGUGCACUAUGGUUGUAAGUAGCACAUAGCCUAUGACCUAGUAAUGUUGUUAGGCUAAUAGGAUUAAAAUGAAUUUCAUACGUAUAGGAGCAUAUGUAUAGUGACUGUUUGUGUGAUUUUCCUUACGUGGUCUAAGCGAAUGAGCUCAUCUCACGUGCACAACUCAUUUUGUGUGAUUUUAUGGGUUACCCCCUGGAAGCCAGGAGUUGGGCCCCACUGUAGAGUUUCCCUCUGAGGACUGAUAGGUCCCUGAUGAGUUCGAGCACGGUGUGAGGAUUGUGCUGCAUGGCAGUAUUGACUCCUGAGUGAUUCUUUUUUAUUCUUUUUGAUGUACUCUCUUUUUAUUACUUAAUGCUUAAAUUGUUAUAUUUUUGUGAAUAUAUCAUGCCUUUGGGCCCAAAUGUAUAUAAUUUUUAUAAUUCAAUUUGGAUAUCAAGUAUUCGGAAAAUAAUUAUAGGUAUUAUUACGAACAGGUCUUCUGCUGAAAACACAGGUCUGAUCUUAGUUUAGUAGAUGUUUAGCAGAUGUAUGCUAUAUUGCAGUUACUGUAUUGUUGACCCUAGCAGGUUUGUGAGUUAACCGGAGUUCACUCAGUCACCGACCUGAUUCUGUGCGAGCGGGGUGUGACAUUAUUUAUGUUUAUUUUUUUCGUACAAGCCAUAAUUGCAGUCCCUAGAUUUUUGAAUCAUAAGGACUUCCUCCCUACGAGACCAUAAUCUAUAUGGAUAGGACAAUCAAGGGUGAUAACUUCAACCAAAGCAUGAAAGCCACCAUCACAAAUGAGGAUAGGACAACCCACAUGUGAUAACUUCUGAUAUUCAUCAAAGAUUAAAGAAAAUCAUCGUGUAAGAUUAUCUUACUUUGAUGACCAUUGUAUCUAAAAUCAAUUAAAAACCUCUUAAUCUAUUCAAAUAAAACUUACAUAUUUUUAAGGAUCAAUUUUUCCCACACCUACAGUCAAAGGAGAAUCUCUUGAUGAUGUGUUUAGAUGGUGUCCAUGGAUUUGGCCAGCACAUGCCUUGUAAUACCAUAACCAACUAUAGCACAAUGAAACGUUCAGUUAAAUUAAUUGAACAGUGGCCUACACAGCGGUGGAUGUGCUAGGAUCGAACCAUCCUAAAGACAUAUGCCAACACACACCCCUCCGCCAAAAAUGACUAUUAGCAUGAAGAGAUGGGAAUGCAAGACACCUUAACUUAGAAAACCAUCCAUAAGUGGUUCAGAAGAAAAUAAUCGACAUGAUGAAAAAAAAAAAAAAAAAAAAAAUUGGAAUGGAAACAUUGUCAUAUACAAUACAGCUUAGGGGUUACAGUUAGGACCAUGGAAAAAUACUUUUGUGUAUUUUAAAAAAUUGCUUCCUCUCUCUUGGAGAACCUUUCUUGCAUUGGCGAUUCUACGCUUGUCAACUUUAUCCUUGUCAUGGACCUAGGGUUGUAGCUUUCACUAGUCAAUCACCUAGCGUUACAUCUGAAAUCGGAGACGUAAAGGAAAGCCAGAGACUCUUCAAGUCAAAUCCGUUGGUUUGUCAGUAACAAACUUUGAUCAAGUGGUCAUUAUGGAAAGUUGAACUCGAGCAAAAAAAAAUGAAAAAUUGAGAUAAAAAAUAAGUGUCAUUUACUAAGCAGUUACAAAAGUUAAUGCCAUUUUCUUGUCAGUUUCAAAAGUAAAUAACAUUUCUCCUCUCCAUUAUCAGAACUAGUCAGCUCUUGCUACUAGACAUUAAUUUCUAUGAUUUUGCCCAUCCCUUAGACAGAUGGUUAUCAAUGACAUAUAAUUAGAGCUGAAUUUCAUGUUUGUAAUCUGAACAGAACUAUUCUUUCCUUGUUUUAAGAGGAAAAGUAAUAAAGUGGGUAACUGCUUAUCAAGAAAACAAAAAUAAAUGGAUAACUCACUAUUCUGUUGUAUCUGAGUUGGCAAAGGGAAAUAUUCUAUUUAAGUGGGUGAUGGAGAGGAAAACUGAGAAAUUAACAAAAGAGCAAUAAUUCAAGCUCAGAAUGGGUAGUUUUAGAAGUAUCAUUCCUGUUCUGAUCAUUGUUACUAUGAUGAUGGAGGACUCAUCACCUAGGGUUUGUGGGUGCUUCACUACUCCAAGAAUACAUGUAAGACUGCAAAACAAAUUGGGUGACGGAAAGAGAUUGUAUUUGCAUUGUGCAUCAGGCCAUCAGCUGACGAUAUCUUGGAAAGCAAUCACUGGACUUCAAUCAGGAAUAUACAUGGACCUUCUGUCAAAAUGUUUGGACUUCUACUCUCUUCUACUGUGACUUCUGGUAUGCAAGGGAUGGAAAAAAAGUAAGCACUCAUGGAGAUGUUUAUUUUGCAGAAAGAGAUCAAUGCACGGACUGUACGUCUCUUGUUGAACCACAAGGGGUUUAUGUAGUAGACACAAAGAACCCUAGCGACUCCAAACUUGUAGCAAAAUGGCCUUAGAUCCAUUGCUUUGACCAAUUAUAUUAUGUUAUAAAUGGUCGUUUCUUAAUAAAUAUAUGGAUCAUUGGUUUGAAACUGUUUUAAUUUGUUUUGAAGGUCCA